AAUAGAUACCCUGGUAGUCCACCCCGUAAACGUUGGGAACUAGUUGUGGGGUCCAUUCCACGGAUUCCGUGACGCAGCUAACGCAUUAAGUUCCCCGCCUGGGGAGUACGGCCGCAAGGCUAAAACUCAAAGGAAUUGACGGGGACCCGCACAAGCGGCGGAGCAUGCGGAUUAAUUCGAUGCAACGCGAAGAGCCUUACCAAGGCUUGACAUACACGAGAACACCGUAGAAAUACGGGACUCUUUGGACACUCGUGAACAGGUGGUGCAUGGUUGUCGUCAGCUCGUGUCGUGAGAUGUUGGGUUAAGUCCCGCAACGAGCGCAACCCUCGUUCUAUGUUGCCAGCACGUAAUGGUGGGAACUCAUGGGAUACUGCCGGGGUCAACUCGGAGGAAGGUGGGGAUGACGUCAAAUCAUCAUGCCCCUUAUGUCUUGGGCUUCACGCAUGCUACAAUGGCCGGUACAAAGGGCUGCAAUACCGCGAGGUGGAGCGAAUCCCAAAAAGCCGGUCCAGUUCGGAUUGAGGUCUGCAACUCGA
rnacentral:rRNA from 1 species